GAUGAACGCUGGCGGCGUGCCUAAUACAUGCAAGUCGAGCGAACGGACGAGAAGCUUGCUUCUCUGAUGUUAGCGGCGGACGGGUGAGUAACACGUGGAUAACCUACCUAUAAGACUGGGAUAACUUCGGGAAACCGGAGCUAAUACCGGAUAAUAUUUUGAACCGCAUGGUUCAAAAGUGAAAGACGGUCUUGCUGUCACUUAUAGAUGGAUCCGCGCUGCAUUAGCUAGUUGGUAAGGUAACGGCUUACCAAGGCAACGAUGCAUAGCCGACCUGAGAGGGUGAUCGGCCACACUGGAACUGAGACACGGUCCAGACCCCUACGGGAGGCAGCAGUAGGGAAUCUUCCGCAAUGGGCGAAAGCCUGACGGAGCAACGCCGCGUGAGUGAUGAAGGUCUUCGGAUCGUAAAACUCUGUUAUUAGGGAAGAACAUAUGUGUAAGUAACUGUGCACAUCUUGACGGUACCUAAUCAGAAAGCCACGGCUAACUACGUGCCAGCAGCCGCGGUAAUACGUAGGUGGCAAGCGUUAUCCGGAAUUAUUGGGCGUAAAGCGCGCGUAGGCGGUUUUUUAAGUCUGAUGUGAAAGCCCACGGCUCAACCGUGGAGGGUCAUUGGAAACUGGAAAACUUGAGUGCAGAAGAGGAAAGUGGAAUUCCAUGUGUAGCGGUGAAAUGCGCAGAGAUAUGGAGGAACACCAGUGGCGAAGGCGACUUUCUGGUCUGUAACUGACGCUGAUGUGCGAAAGCGUGGGGAUCAAACAGGAUUAGAUACCCUGGUAGUCCACGCCGUAAACGAUGAGUGCUAAGUGUUAGGGGGUUUCCGCCCCUUAGUGCUGCAGCUAACGCAUUAAGCACUCCGCCUGGGGAGUACGACCGCAAGGUUGAAACUCAAAGGAAUUGACGGGGACCCGCACAAGCGGUGGAGCAUGUGGUUUAAUUCGAAGCAACGCGAAGAACCUUACCAAAUCUUGACAUCCUUUGACAACUCUAAAGAUAGAGCCUUCCCCUUCGGGGGACAAAGUGACAGGUGGUGCAUGGUUGUCGUCAGCUCGUGUCGUGAGAUGUUGGGUUAAGUCCCGCAACGAGCGCAACCCUUAAGCUUAGUUGCCAUCAUUAAGUUGGGCACUCUAAGUUGACUGCCGGUGACAAACCGGAGGAAGGUGGGGAUGACGUCAAAUCAUCAUGCCCCUUAUGAUUUGGGCUACACACGUGCUACAAUGGACAAUACAAAGGGCAGCGAAACCGCGAGGUCAAGCAAAUCCCAUAAAGUUGUUCUCAGUUCGGAUUGUAGUCUGCAACUCGACUACAUGAAGCUGGAAUCGCUAGUAAUCGUAGAUCAGCAUGCUACGGUGAAUACGUUCCCGGGUCU
rnacentral:rRNA from 1 species